ACACAUGCAAGUCGAGGGGAAACGACAUCGAAAGCUUGCUUUUGAUGGGCGUCGACCGGCGCACGGGUGAGUAACGCGUAUCCAACCUGCCCACCACUUGGGGAUAACCUUGCGAAAGUAAGACUAAUACCCAAUGAUAUCUCUAGAAGACAUCUGAAAGAGAUUAAAGAUUUAUCGGUGAUGGAUGGGGAUGCGUCUGAUUAGCUUGUUGGCGGGGUAACGGCCCACCAAGGCGACGAUCAGUAGGGGUUCUGAGAGGAAGGUCCCCCACAUUGGAACUGAGACACGGUCCAAACUCCUACGGGAGGCAGCAGUGAGGAAUAUUGGUCAAUGGACGAGAGUCUGAACCAGCCAAGUAGCGUGCAGGAUGACGGCCCUAUGGGUUGUAAACUGCUUUUAUAAGGGAAUAAAGUGAGUCUCGUGAGACUUUUUGCAUGUACCUUAUGAAUAAGGACCGGCUAAUUCCGUGCCAGCAGCCGCGGUAAUACGGAAGGUCCGGGCGUUAUCCGGAUUUAUUGGGUUUAAAGGGAGCGUAGGCCGGAGAUUAAGCGUGUUGUGAAAUGUAGAUGCUCAACAUCUGCACUGCAGCGCGAACUGGUUUCCUUGAGUACGCACAAAGUGGGCGGAAUUCGUGGUGUAGCGGUGAAAUGCUUAGAUAUCACGAAGAACUCCGAUUGCGAAGGCAGCUCACUGGAGCGCAACUGACGCUGAAGCUCGAAAGUGCGGGUAUCGAACAGGAUUAGAUACCCUGGUAGUCCGCACGGUAAACGAUGGAUGCCCGCUGUUGGUCUGAAUAGGUCAGCGGCCAAGCGAAAGCAUUAAGCAUCCCACCUGGGGAGUACGCCGGCA
rnacentral:rRNA from 1 species